rnacentral:rRNA from 1 species
GACGAACGCUGGCGGCGUGCUUAACACAUGCAAGUCGAACGAUGAAACCUAGCUUGCUAGGUCGAUUAGUGGCGAACGGGUGAGUAACACGUGACUAACCUGCCCCUUUCUCUGGGAUAACGCUCCGAAAGGAGUGCUAAUACCGGAUACUCACACCGAGGCACAUGCCUUGGUGUGGAAAGUUUUUCGGAAAGGGAUGGAGUCGCGGCCUAUCAGCUUGUUGGUGAGGUAACGGCUCACCAAGGCGACGACGGGUAGCCGGCCUGAGAGGGCGGCCGGCCACACUGGGACUGAGACACGGCCCAGACUCCUACGGGAGGCAGCAGUGGGGAAUAUUGCACAAUGGGCGCAAGCCUGAUGCAGCGACGCCGCGUGAGGGAUGAAGGUCUUCGGAUUGUAAACCUCUUUCAGUAGGGACGAAGCGAAAGUGACGGUACCUAAAGAAGAAGCACCGGCUAACUACGUGCCAGCCGCCGCAGUAA